GGCCAUCCAAAGGCAUCCCAGUUGUACUAAACUAGAAACCCUGAGCCACAAUGUUUCUAGGUCAUCCAAAGGUAUCCCGAAUGUACUAAACCAGAAACCUAAGCCAAAAGGUUUCUAGGCCAUCCAAAGGUAUCCUGGUUGUACUAAACUGAAAACCCCAAGCCAGAAGGUGUCUUCAUUCAUUAUCAUCUUUGUGCCCAUGUGUGGACAUUCAUCAUUAUUUCCCAUCAUUUCUAUGCUCCGUUGGGGACAAUCACUUACGUUCUCCAUUGGGAAGUUUUUCUUACUAUAUUACUUUAUUAUUCAUUUUUGUGCUCAACAAGGGACAUUCAUCAUUCUUUUUUUACCUGGCGGGUCAGUGGGAAGUCUCACGGGCCUGUGAGGCUUUUCUUUUUUCCUUUUUUUAAUUUUUUAAUUUUAAUUUUUUUUUUUCUGAGACAUUUUUUACUUUUUUUAUUCUUUUUUUUUUCUUUUGGCGGAUCCACGAGAUUUCUCACGAGCCUGUGGGAUUUUCCCCUUAUUUAUAAUUUUAUUUUCUCUCUUUUUUUCUCUUCUCUUUUUGUGUUUUUUGUUUUUUCUUUCUUUGCUAAGUCAGGUUUUUUUCUUCUUAUUUUUUUCUUUUUCUCUUGGGGGGUCCGUGGAAUAUCUCACGAGCCCACGAUAUUUUUGGCAGGCCCAUGAGUGACUGGUGGGCCCGAGGGCUUGGUGGGGUCCUCCUAUAAAAGGGGAUGGACCCUCUCCAAUUUUUCUAUUCCAUUUCUCUAUCAUUUUGCUCCAUGUGUGGUGUGGUGCUCUCUUCUCUCUCUUCUAGUGUUCUAGUUUCUUAUAAAAGUCUUCAGAUGGGGCCUCGCAAGCACACACAUGGUGUAAGAGUCAUCGACAGGCUGGCUGACUCGUUGUCCCAAAAUGGCGCUACAACGUGGUAACUGGGAUCGACACUGAAGGGCACUAAGGAUCAUCGUUGCAACUCUGCUUGGGUAGAAUGGUUUUUUUUUUCUUUAUGCCGUGCUCUUAUAAUGCUACAAAUGCUUAUGUUUUAUAUGCUCAUGCAUGCGUGCUGAUGAAUGCUUAGCCUAUGUUAAUGUUAUCCUCAUGUAUGAAUGCAUGCUUGGGCUAUUUUCAUGCUUUUCUCAUGCAUGUUUAAACUAUUUUACAUGCUCAUGUUAGGGCAAUAAAUGCAUGCUUUACGCUUUGAGAUUUCUAUGUAUGCUCAUGCAUGUAUGCCUAUGUAUGCUUUUAGAAUUAUGUUCCAUGAUGCUUAUGUUGGGAUACUUACCUGUUAUAGUAGGCUCAAGCUGAACCUACGUAUAAGAAGUAUGAUUAUCCCAAUGGGAGCUUGGGUCAACCAUAUCCAUCCUCUCAUAUAGCAGACAAUCCGCAACAUGCCUUUUCGUCCUUGCUUCUACCCAUGUGGCAAGAAGCUGGAUGUCGAGCUUACCUGGGCUCCUACCAAGAGAUGGUGGCCGAUCACUUAUACCUUUCACCGUCCUGUGGGGGAAAUAACGAUCACCCCCCUCUGCUUUUAUCUUUGACUGGCCCUCCCUUUGGCGGCGAGCCCAUCACCUUUUCUACCCCUAUGGCCAGUCCAUUAUAUUGGAUCUUACGGGCAUUGAUUCUCCCACUUCUAUCCAUCUUUCCACCAUCCACAAGAUCUAGACCGGUAAGAAGGUGACCGCGUCCACUCUUCGGGAGGAAAAGGACCAAUUUAUCUGUAGCAUCUUCAUCUAAUGGGCCAGCUUGUGCUUGUUUAGCAACGCUUCUAAAAAGGUCGGCAUUCAGCUCGACUACUACUUUAGUGAUCUUCAGAACAUUCAGAAGUAUGACUGGGGUGGCACCGCCUAUGCAUACUUCUUGAGGAUGAUGGAUCAUCUUGCCUAGGGCGAUCUGAGCUUGUGUGGGGCUGCCUUUAUUCUUUAGCCUUAGGUCUAUGAGCAUCUUGACUUCAUCAAUCCUCCCCUAACAGAAGGGGAUUAUGAUAUAUUCCCUCUCACCAGAAAAUGGGGUGCAGGCAGGACCAUCCAUGGCCCUCUACCUCUUAGCACCAUAGGGAGGGACGUCCUUAACCGACUCACUGUGGUUAAUUGGACUCCCUUCCAAAUGGUGACUUUUCUUCAGAAGCCCAUUAAGACGAGGCUAGGAGACUUACUGGUCUUCAUGUUCUAUUCCAGGGUCCCAGUGGUCUUGCCUGAUAUGUCAGGGAGAGGAUCGCUAGGCAGUGGUUUGACUCAAAUGGCCCCCUAGUUCCUCAUCAUCCUCCUCCAUCCAUGCACAACCCUAGCAUCCUUUCUGAGGAAGACUUAUAGGCGGCCUUGAUUGGGGUAACUAGGGACAACUUUACAGAUCUUAUGUGAGACAACUUGGAGUUUCUUCAGUAGGAGACCGUAUGUGUGCCAUUGACCUCUGAGGGUCCCCAGGACAAUCAUCUUCCUUGGUUGUGACGCUCUCAGAUCAGCAAGUUCUUCCACAGAAGGUUCCUGUCACACCCUGUUCACACAGAACCGGACCGGUGACCAAGUUAACUCCGGUUAACCAAAAACCUGCCAAGAUCAUCUGAUACAGUACCCCACC